UACAGAGGAGCCAAGCGUUGUCCGGAUUGACUGGGCGUAAAGGCGCACGCAGGCGGGUUGCGCGCGUGGGGUGUGAAAUCUGGCCGCUUAACGGCCAGGCGCCAUCCAUACGGCGCGACUGGAGGGCUGCAGAGGUCGAUGGAAUUGCCGGUGUAGUGGUGAAAUGCGUAGAGAUCGGCAGGAACACCCAGGGGGAAACCGGUCGACUGGGCAGCA
rnacentral:rRNA from 1 species